GACGAACGCUGGCGGCGUGCCUAAUACAUGCAAGUAGAACGCACAGGCUAUACCGUAGCUUGCUACACCAUAAACUGUGAGGUGCGAACGGGGUAGGAACGCGUAGGUAACCUGCCUGGUAGCGGGGGAAAACGACGGGUAACGAUAGCUAAGACCACAUAAUAUUGAUUCUUGCUUUAGAAUGGAUUGAAAGAUGCUAUUGGAUCACUACCAGAUGGACCUUCGUUGUAUUAGCUAGUAGGCGAGGUAACGGCUCACCUAGGUGACGAGACAUAGCCGACAUGCGAGGGUGGUCGGCCGCCCUGAGACUGCGACCCGGCACAGACUCCUACGGGAGGCAGCCGUAGGGCAACUUCGGCAAUCGGCGAAAGUCUGACCGAGCAGCGCGGAGUGAGUGAAGAAGGUCUUCGGGUCGUAAAGCUCUGUUGUCAGAGAAGAACGGGUGUGAGGGUGGAAAGUACACACUGUGACGGCAUCUUAACAGAAAGGGACGGCUAACUACGUG
rnacentral:rRNA from 1 species